CCUUUGUACACACCGCCCGUCGCUACUACCGAUUGAAUGGCUCAGUGAGGCCUUCGGACUGGCUUGGGGAGGUUGGCAACGACCACCCUAAGCCGGAAAGUUCGUCAAACUCGGUCAUUUAGAGG
rnacentral:rRNA from 1 species